AACAGGGCUGCCCCAGGGCUAGAUGAUAAAGAGACAGGCUGACUUCAAGAUCAUUUUGCAAAGAGAAAAAUCUGAAGAGUCACAAGAUGAAGACUACCUAGAGAAUGACCGUGGGGCAAGGCCCGGAUGCCAAGUCUCCCUUCUCUGGCCUCUGGUCCUAAACUCUGGAGAUCCUGAGUCUGGUUUAGUCUGGGGAAUACUGUAA
rnacentral:lncRNA from 1 species